AUUGAACGCUGGCGGCAGGCUUAACACAUGCAAGUCGAGCGGGGUGAUGGCGCUUGCACUAUCACUUAGCGGCGGACGGGUGAGUAAUGCUUAGGAAUCUGCCUAUUAGUGGGGGACAACAUCUCGAAAGGGAUGCUAAUACCGCAUACGUCCUACGGGAGAAAGCAGGGGAUCACUUGUGACCUUGCGCUAAUAGAUGAGCCUAAGUCGGAUUAGCUAGUUGGUGGGGUAAAGGCCUACCAAGGCGACGAUCUGUAGCGGGUCUGAGAGGAUGAUCCGCCACACUGGGACUGGGACACGGCCCAGACUCCUACGGGAGGCAGCGGUGGGGAAUAUUGGACAAUGGGGGGAACCCUGAUCCAGCCAUGCCGCGUGUGUGAAGAAGGCCUUAUGGUUGUAAAGCACUUUAAGCGAGGAGGAGGCUCUUUUGGUUAAUACCCAAGAUGAGCGGACGUUACUCGCAGAAUAAGCACCGGCUAACUCUGUGCCAGCCGCCGCCGUAA
rnacentral:rRNA from 1 species